rnacentral:rRNA from 1 species
GAUGAACGCUGGCGGCGUGCCUAAUACAUGCAAGUCGAGCGAACAGACGAGGAGCUUGCUCCUCUGACGUUAGCGGCGGACGGGUGAGUAACACGUGGAUAACCUACCUAUAAGACUGGGAUAACUUCGGGAAACCGGAGCUAAUACCGGAUAAUAUAUUGAACCGCAUGGUUCAAUAGUGAAAGACGGUUAUGCUGUCACUUAUAGAUGGAUCCACGCCGCAUUAGCUAGUUGGUAAGGUAACGGCUUACCAAGGCAACGAUGCGUAGCCGACGUGAGAGGGUGAACGGCCACACUGGAACUGGGAGCCGGGCCAUGCUCCUGCGGAAUGCACCAGUGUGGAAGCUUCCGCAAUGGGCGAAAGCCUGACGCAGCAACGCAGCGUGAGUGAUGAAGGUCUUCGGAUCGUAAAACUCUGUUAUUAGAGAGGAACAAAUGUGUAAGUAACUAUGCACGUCUUGACGGUACCUAAUCAGAACGCCACGGCUAACUACGUG